UGGGGAAUAUUGCGCAAUGGGGGGAACCCUGACGCAGCCAUGCCGCGUGAAUGAAGAAGGCCUUAGGGUUGUAAAGUUCUUUCGGUAUUGAGGAAGGUUGAUGUGUUAAUAGCACAUCAAAUUGACGUUAAAUACAGAAGAAGCACCGGCUAACUCCGUGCCAGCAGCCGCGGUAAUACGGAGGGUGCGAGCGUUAAUCGGAAUAACUGGGCGUAAAGGGCACGCAGGCGGUUAUUUAAGUGAGGUGUGAAAGCCCUGGGCUUAACCUAGGAAUUGCAUUUCAGACUGGGUAACUAGAGUACUUUAGGGAGGGGUAGAAUUCCACGUGUAGCGGUGAAAUGCGUAGAGAUGUGGAGGAAUACCGAAGGCGAAGGCAGCCCCUUGGGAAUGUACUGACGCUCAUGUGCGAAAGCGUGGGGAGCAAACAGGAUUAGAUACCCUGGUGGUCCACGCUGUAAACGCUGCCGAUUUGGGGGUUGGGGUUUAACUCUGGCGCCCGUAGCUAACGUGAUAAAUCGACCGCCUGGGGAGUACGGCCGCAAGGUUA
rnacentral:rRNA from 1 species